rnacentral:rRNA from 1 species
UACAGAGGUCCCAAGCGUUGUUCGGAUUCACUGGGCGUAAAGGGUGCGCAGGUGGUCGGGUAAGUCUGACGUGAAAUCCCGCAGCUUAACUGCGGAAUGGCAUUGGAUACUAUUCGGCUAGAGGGUUGGAGGGGGGACUGGAAUUCUCGGUGUAGCAGUGAAAUGCGCAGAUAUCAGGAGGAACACCGGUGGCGAAGGCGGGUCUCUGGGCCGAUACUGACGCUGAGGAGCGAAAGCGUGGGGAGCGAACAGG